CCACAUACAAAUUUAUACCCACACUCCUAUUCGCCCGUACACACAUAUCACCCACAUAAAAACUCACAUACAAACACUCCCAAACACAAACAAACACACACACACACUCACACAAACAAAAAAACAAAACACACACACACACAUGUAUACACACAAAAACCCAUCCACACAUACAUACACAUUAACACAUAUAUAUUACAUACACAAACACACAUAGUACACACACAAACAAACACACACACACACACACUCUCACACACAAAAACACAUACACAAACACACGUAACUGUAUAAACACAGACGCAUACGCACUCACAUACACACAUAUUACCCACACAAACACAAACACACAUGCAUACAUGCACACACACAAACAAAGACACACAUAAACACACGCACAUAUUACAUACACACACA
rnacentral:lncRNA from 1 species